AGAUGUGAACUUUGUCCCCAUAAGGAUGGAGCUUUAAAAAGAACAGAUAAUGGGGGUUGGGCCCAUGUGGUUUGUGCCCUGUAUAUUCCAGAGGUACAAUUUGCCAAUG
rnacentral:sRNA from 1 species